UGGGGAAUUGGAGGCAUUGCCUGCCCAGUGACAACUGUUUAACGGCCGCGGUAUCCUGACCGUGCAAAGGUAGCAUAAUCAUUUGUUCUCUAAAUAAGGACUUGUAUGAAUGGCCGCACGAGGGUUUUACUGUCUCUUACUUCCAAUCAGUGAAAUUGACCUUCCCGUGAAGAGGCGGGAAUGCACAAAUAAGACGAGAAGACCCUAUGGAGCUUUAACUAACCAACCCAAAGAGAAUAGAUUUAACCAUUAAGGAAUAACAACAAUCUCCAUGAGUUGGUAGUUUCGGUUGGGGUGACCUCGGAGAAUAAAAAAUCCUCCGAGCGAUUUUAAAGACUAGACCCACAAGUCAAAUCACUCUAUCGCUCAUUGAUCCAAAAACUUGAUCAACGGAACAAGUUACCCUAGGGAUAACAGCGCAAUCCUAUUCAAGAGUCCAUAUCGACAAUAGGGUUUACGACCUCGAUGUUGGAUCAGGACAUCCUGAUGGUGCAACCGCUAUCAAAGGUUCGUUUGUUCAACGAUUAAAGUCCUACGUGAUCUGAGUUCAGACCGGA
rnacentral:rRNA from 1 species